rnacentral:rRNA from 1 species
UACAGAGGUCUCAAGCGUUGUUCGGAUUCAUUGGGCGUAAAGAGCGUGUAGGCGGCCCGGUAAGUCCGCUGUGAAAGUCCAGGGCUCAACCCUGGGAUGCCGGUGGAUACUGUCGGGCUCGAGUCCGGAAGAGGAGUGUGGAAUUCCUGGUGUAGCGGUGAAAUGCGCAGAUAUCAGGAGGAACACCAAUGGCGAAGGCAGCACUCUGGGACGUGACUGACGCUGAGACGCGAAAGCGUGGGGAGCAAACAGG